CACACACACUCUCUCUCUCUCUCUUCGUCGAUGGGCGUCGAAGGAGCCGAGAAGAAACCUCCUGUUUUCCUUCUACAUUUCCCGCAGUUCCUCAGUUGACCAUCAAUUUGGGAGAAAAGCUCAUGAAAGCUCGGUAGACUUUCGUCCCAAAAUUGAACUCUUCGAAUGGGAGAAUUUGUGCGAAGAAACACUAUUUGGUGGUGGAGGCUCUUUCACUCAGGGGCACGGCUUCCUCUCCACUUGUUUUCAGCAUUUUGGGUAGGUAAAACAACUUCUCCUUCUUUGGAUUCCUGGGUUGUGUUUUCUGUAGAGAAUUCGUUGCUAGGUUGCCUAAUUGCCCACCAACUGUUUGAUUCAUGGACGCAGAAGUGUGAAUUCUAGUACCACUGUUUGAAACUUCAUUGUUGUCUUGAAUUCGAUUAAAGGGCAAGUGGACAUUGUUUGAAGGAUUCCUUUUUGGUUCUUUUGGCAAGUCUAGACUUUUGUGGAUUCAUUAGAUUCUCUUCACAAUGCACCCCUGAGGUUUACUUGUAAACAGUUUCAAUCUUUGAUGUUUAGAAGACCAAAUGCCACAUUUACUUGAUCCAUGUGAAUUCGUGCCA